rnacentral:rRNA from 1 species
UACGUAGGGAGCAAGCGUUGUCCGGAUUCACUGGGUGUAAAGGGUGCGUAGGCGGGAGAAUAAGUCAGCGGUGAAAUCUUACGGCUCAACCGUGAAACUGCCGUUGAUACUGUUUUUCUUGAGUUCGGGAGAGGUUGAUGGAAUUCCAGGUGUAGCGGUGAAAUGCGUAGAUAUCCGGAGGAACACCAGUGGCGAAAGCGGCCACCUGGACUGCACCUGACGCUGACACGCGAAAGCUAGGGGAGCGAACGGG